GAUCAAAGUGUAGUAUCUGUUCUUAUCAGCUUAAUAUCUGAUACGAUGCUCAUCGAGUCUCUACGAUAUUAAACUGAUUUUUGGACUGAGGAGGGGUUUCUGGAGCUUGCUCCGAACCCUCCACGGGNUGGCC
rnacentral:snRNA from 1 species